rnacentral:lncRNA from 1 species
UAUCAUGGGGGGGGGGGGAGGGGAGCCAGACACAAGUGAGACAGGAGAGAGGGAAGACCAAGUGUGGAGCCGCCAGCCUCAGGAUUUCUAAUGGAACCUUUGGUAUUAGGAAUGAGUGACGGGGCUGCCAAUUCCUGACCAGCUCUCCCCUCUCCCCUUCUUCCUUACUACAUAGAAUCUUGACUUUCUUGGGGGUUGGCAAUUGGCCCAGCUAAAAUGCUACAUUUCCCAGCCCCAUCUGAAGCUAGGGGCAGCCACAUGAUGCAGUUCUGGACAAUGAGCUGCCGUCUCAGAGGAUGAGCCAUCAGACAUUGCCACAGGGAAGGGGUGGGAAGUGGUCAUCCUCGGGACUCCAAGCUGACUUUUUUGACCUCGUUAUGGAGAUGAUGGUAUGGAAGUCCAGGCUUUGCGGAAAUAGGGGGAUUGUUGACAGAGAUCCUCCGGUAGCAUAUGGAAGUCCAGGCUUGGCUGAUGAGAUCACAAAGUUUAUCACUCCCCAGGUGGCAAGGGCUCAGGUAAUGGCAAACAGGAAGUGCAGAGCCACUCCUUCCCCACGAGGGACCAUGGAGGAAGCAGGGGCUGGACUAACUGCAGGAUGGAGUGCUUGUGCAGACCAGAUCACGGAGGAUGGAAGCUGUGGUGUGAGUGACUCUGGCUCCUAGCGACAGCGCUGGAGGGACAGGACAGAGAGCUGCCCUCAGACCUCGGGGCGCCAUCCCCCGUGACCUCGCUGCCCCCUCCCUCUCCCCAGCGAGUGCAAACACAGCUGGUCACGGACUUUUGCUGCGGGAGGUGUUUUCCCCGAGCUGAUAGGAUCAACCUGUUCUUUACCUCAAACCUGUUUUUAAAAGGACUUUCCUGUUUUUUUUUUCUUUCUUUAAUUGCAGAAUAUUUUUAUAACAUACUUUGAACAGAAGAAACAGAACCUAGCAAAACAGUUAUUAAAGAGCU